rnacentral:rRNA from 1 species
AUGUCCACUGAUCUCUCUUUUGCUGUCACCAACGUUUAUGCGCCGGCAGAUCAUUCCUUCGCCCAGGUGUUCGUGGCUGACCUGGGCGAUGUGGCCACCACGGGCGCUCUCCUCUGGCUCGUCCUCGGUGACUUUAACCUCAUCCGGGGGCCGUCGCAGAAGAAUAACUCUCGCUUCGACGCUGGCAGUGCGGCGUCUUUCAAUGCCCUGAUCAACGGGCUCGGCUGGCUCGAGCUGCCCCUCUUUGAUCGCCUUUUCACCUGGACCAACAAACGUUCCCCCCAACCCUUGCUCGCCUAG